rnacentral:lncRNA from 1 species
UGCAUACCGAUGGGGGUUUGCAAGCCGGUUCCUAACUCUGUUGUGUGUGUACAAGGCUGCUGUCAAAACGCUAAUAUGAUGUCUCUGAAGGGGGAGGAGGCCUUUGAAUGAGCAACUUCCAGCCCAGGCUCCUGCCUGUAAGGAUAAGGACCAGAUCGAGCAUCCUCAUUUAGAGCCUUUCACAUAACCCAGGCUACCACCAUUUCUAACAGAAUGAGAGACAUGGCACUCUGAAAAGAGCUUAAUGUUUCUUUGAAUAAGAUGAUUAAAAAGAAGAUUCCCAUCAAUGAUUUAAUCUGGGCCACUGUUGAUGAAGUUCAGAAAGGAGGAUUUGUUCCAGGGGCCUGUGGAGAGGACGGGAAGAGGAUACAACUUAGUGCUGGAGCAGCAGAGGCAGCUUCCACAGUCACUGAGAUCAGCUGCUGGGUCCUGGCUGGCUGAAGCAAGCUUAGGCUUGCAGACUGACUGACAGGAGAGGCGAGCACAGCAUGGGGGAAAGGAGGGUAAUUGGAACUGUGGAACUUUCUUGCAUAUUUCUGAGCCACUUAUAACUUUUUUUAGUGAAGGAAAUUUUUAUUCUAGAAGAUAAUGUUUGGUUGUUCAUGUGUGGGAAUUCUUAUAAUUCUAGCAUAGACUCAUUCAGUGUUCAUAAUAUAAAUAGUUCCUCCA